rnacentral:rRNA from 1 species
UUAAAAAGCUCGUAGUUGGAUUUCUGCUGAAGCAAACCGGUCCGCCCUCUGGGUGAGCAUCUGGUUUUGGUUUGGCAUAUGCUUAGACUUUGCAGCUGCACUUGACUGUGUGGUGUGAAGGCUGAGCCAUUUACUUUGAGGAAAUCAGAGUGUUUCAAGCAGGCCAUUGCCUUGAAUACACUAGCAUGGAAUAAUAUGAUAUGACUGUGGUUUUAUUUUGUUGGCUUUUAGAAUUAGAGUAAUGGUUAAUAGGGAUAGUUGGGGGCAUUCAUAUUUAACUGUCAGAGGUGAAAUUCUUGGAUUUGUUAAGGAUGAACGACUGCGAAAGCAUUUGCCAAGGAUGCUUUCAUUGAUCAAGAA